rnacentral:rRNA from 1 species
UACGUAGGGUGCGAGCGUUAAUCGGAAUUACUGGGCGUAAAGCGUGCGCAGGCGGUUAUGUAAGUCAGUUGUGAAAUCCCCGGGCUCAACCUGGGAAUUGCAUCUGUGACUGCAUAGCUAGAGUACGGUAGAGGGGGAUGGAAUUCCGCGUGUAGCAGUGAAAUGCGUAGAUAUGCGGAGGAACACCGAUGGCGAAGGCAAUCCCCUGGACCUGUGCUGACGCUCAUGCACGAAAGCGUGGGGAGCAAACAGG